rnacentral:rRNA from 1 species
UAGGGAAUCUUCCACAAUGGACGAAAGUCUGAUGGAGCAAUGCCGCGUGAGUGAAGAAGGUUUUCGGAUCGUAAAACUCUGUUGUGAGGGAAGAACAAGUACGAGAGUAACUGCUCGUACCUUGACGGUACCUCAUUAGAAAGCCACGGCUAACUACGUGCCAGCAGCCGCGGUAAUACGUAGGUGGCAAGCGUUGUCCGGAAUUAUUGGGCGUAAAGCGCGCGCAGGCGGUCCUUUAAGUCUGAUGUGAAAGCCCACGGCUCAACCGUGGAAGGUCAUUGGAAACUGGGGGACUUGAGUACAGAAGAGGAAAGCGGAAUUCCAAGUGUAGCGGUGAAAUGCGUAGAGAUUUGGAGGAACACCAGUGGCGAAGGCGGCUUUCUGGUCUGUAACUGACGCUGAGGCGCGAAAGCGUGGGGAGCAAACAGGAUUAGAUACCCUGGUAGUCCACGCCGUAAACGAUGAGUGCUAAGUGUUAGGGGGUUUCCGCCCCUUAGUGCUGCAGC